rnacentral:misc_RNA from 1 species
UGAAUUCCUCACCCGCAGCCAA